GAACGAACCGUGCGAACGUUAUUCGGAAUCACUGGGCUUAAAGCGCGUGUAGGCGGGACGCACGUCGGUCGCUGAAAGCCCCCGGCUCAACCGGGGAACGGGCGCCGAUACGACCGCCCUCGAGGAACGUAGGGGGACCUGGAACUUCCGGUGGAGCGGUGAAAUGCGUUGAGAUCGGAAGGAACGCCCGUGGCGAAAGCGAGGUCC
rnacentral:rRNA from 1 species